AACAGAGGGUGCAAACGUUGCUCGGAAUCAUUGGGCGUAAAGCGCGUGUAGGCGGCUUGUUACGUCGGGUGUGAAAGCCCGGGGCUCAACCCCGGCAGUGCACCCGAAACGGGGAAGCUAGAGUACUGGAGAGGCGAGUGGAAUUCCCGGUGUAGAGGUGAAAUUCGUAGAUAUCGGGAGGAACACCGGUGGCGAAGGCGACUCGCUGGCCAGGUUACUGACGCUGAGACGCGAAAGCGUGGGGAGCAAACAGG
rnacentral:rRNA from 1 species